GCAAUAUCUUAAAAUUUUCUUUGUACCACUGGGUUAUAGUAGGAGGCUUUUCAAUAAUCCAGGCAAUAAAUAGCAAUUUACUUAACUAUGGGGCUAUAAUAGCCCCAUACUGUUUGCCUUAUAGAAAGCAUGAUCGGUAAUUCUUUUAAUUUAGACAGUUUGUGAUGAAGUUACCCAGAUAGUAAAAAACAUCAGCGGCAAACGCCUUUUUCCCCCACUUUUUUUUUUUUUUCCUGCUGGACGGCACCGCUUCUCUAAGAUAAGCACUGUAUUUGUUUCUGUUAAAUAUGCUUCAUUCAUGCCGUUACCAGUUCCGUAAAAUUAUUCUGGUAGGAUAUAACGAAGGUAAUUGCUUUAUUUGUAGUUUUUAUUCAGAAAUGUGAGAUUGUGGCGGUGGAGUUAGCUUAGAGAACAUUAGCUACCUGCAUAUUAGCUAACAUAGAGGGUAGCACUGAGGUUAAAACUUAAAAAAGCCCCUCGGAUUUAUUUCGGUGGGGCAGAUGAGGUGGUUUGGUUACCUGUCCCGGUAUAGUUGAUGUUACUCCGGGCUGAUUUUAUUGACCCUCUCCAGAACUGACUGCAGAUAAAGUUAAACAGGUGGCUCUCAGCUGUUCAGUUGUUGUUAUUUCAGUGUCUGAGUCCCAGUUAUGGCAUACAGUUGAUUAUAUUUUGGCCAUAAAAUCAUCCUGAAUGAGUUACUAACAGCUUAUUUUGAAACACAUCCUUCAUUUACAGGCAGCUGAUACUCAGUUACAUGGUGUUAAAGAAAAUGUAAAUCCCAUGAUUCUUCAACAGGUUCUCAGUCGGACUUUCCCCUCUGAUUUAGACACUGAAGAAAAUUUUUUUACAGAAAUGUAGUGAUUUAAAUCAGCAAACUCAUCCUCUGAAUGCUUCAUCACACUGUUUGAGCUGUCAAAGUUGGGACUGAGAAAUCAGAGGAGAGAAAACGAGAAACAGGAAAAAUAUACAAACAACGUGAGACCGGAGCAGACAGGAUGUUUCAGGAAGCCAACACAUCUCAUACAUUCACAUUAUCGUGGUACAUGAGGUUUUCCUUGUACAUGUACUGCAAUACAAUAAUGAGAAUAUGCAAUAUAAUAGCAGUUAGUGAGGCAGUUGAAGAAAUUUGGUGUAAAUUUCUAUGAAACUAUGUAAUUUCAUUGUGGAUCAAAUACAUUAAAGUUUCCUA